rnacentral:lncRNA from 1 species
GAAGGGGCGGGGCUACCGCUUGGCCACGCCUCCUGUGAGGUCAAGCCACGCCCACCCGGACCGGAAGGGGAGGGGCCUCGGCGAUGCCCCGCCCCCGCAGAGGAGGACGGCUCCCCAUUGGAGGACUGGGCAGGCCACGCCCCCUAUGAGGACAAGCCCCGCCCACCGCUGGGCGAGUGGGAGGGGCCUCGGCGAAGCCACGCCCCCACGAUGAAGCCACACCCGCUCGUGGGCCAAUGGGAGGGGCUCCAGGAGCAAGGCCACGCCCCCGUUGGAGGCAAGCCACGCCCACUAACGGACAGGCCACGCCCCCUGGAGGGGGAGGGCGGGCUGUGGGCGGGGCCUCGGGCCGCCCCGCCCCCCGCGGCCCAAGAUGGCCGCCGGCCCCCCGCGGAGGCCGCUGGCCAAUGGGGUGGCGGCGGGGCCGCGGGCGGCGCCCAAUCAGGGGGCUCCGGCCCGGGCAGGGGAGGCCGGCGAGGCCCCGGGAGGCCGCGGGAGGCCGGAGGAGGAGGAGGCGGCGGCCAAUGAGGGGCCGCGAUGCUGCGGGGGGUCGGCGGAGCCGGCCAAUGAGGAGCUGGGAGGCUGCCGGGGGGCGGCGGCGGCCAUCUUGGGGUCGCCGGAGGCCGGCGGGAGGUCGGCGGAGGCCGAGGCGAGGUCGGCGGAGGUCAAGGUGAGGUCAGCGGAGGCCCGCGGGGGGUCGGCGGCGGCCAAUGAGGAGCCGGGAGGGGACAGGAAGUGGACGGCGGCCAUCUUGGGGUCAACGGCGGCCAUCUUGGGGUCAACGGCGGCCAACGUGAGGUCAACGGCGGCCAACGUGAGGUCAACGGCGGCCAACGUGAGGUCAACGGAGGCCGGCGGGAGGUCGACAGAGGCCAACGAGGGGUCAACGGAGGCCAAUUUAGGGUCAGCGGAGGCCGCCGGGAGGUCACCGGCAGCCAAUGAGGCGUCAGAAGGCUGCGGGAGGCCAAUGGAGGCCAGCCCGGGGUCAACGGCGGCCAAUGAGGAGCCAGGAGCCAACAGGAAGUCAACGGAGGCCAACGGGACGUCGACGGAGGCCGAUGAGGAGCCAGGAGCCAAUGGGAGGCCAACGGAGACCAAUGAGGAUGGUGCAGCCUCCGCGGCGGCCAUCUUGGAGCCGAGGCCAGCCAAUGAGGGGCUGGAGAGCACCGCAACAUCAUCAGCGGCCAUCUUGGGGGCAACGGACACCACCGUGACGUCGACGGCAGCCCUCUUGGGGCCAACAGACACCGCCGCGACGUCGACGUCGGCCAUCUUGGCGACAACGGACGCCGCCACGACCUCAUCGGCGGCCAUCUUGGGCUCUCCGGUAGACCGCGGCCACCUGGAGGCCAAC